GUAGGUGAACCUGCGGAAGGAUCAUUAACGAAUAACUAUGGUGUCUUGGUUGUAGCUGGCUCCUCGGAGCAAUGUGCACGCCCGCCAUUUUUAUCUUUCCACCUGUGCACCGACUGUAGGUCUGGAUGACUCUCGUACUCCGGUGCGGAUGCGAGGAUUGCUCUCGGGCUCUCCUCGAAUUUCCAGGCUCUACGUCUUUUUACACACCCCAAACGUAUGAUACAGAAUGUAGUCAAUGGGCUUGAUCGCCUAUAAAACACUAUACAACUUUCAGCAACGGAUCUCUUGGCUCUC
rnacentral:misc_RNA from 1 species